AGAUAAAUCUCUUAAAAAGGUCACAAAUGAGAGGGACAGUCUAUCAAAAGAAAUGCGUCAGGUGAAAAAAGAUUGUGAAGAACACAUCAAACGAAUCACAGAACUUGAAGAACUGCUCUCAGCACAAGUUUCUGACAAAGAGAAAAUGAUUAAAGUGUUGAAGGAUCAAGUCCAGGAAUAUCAUGUAAAAUUGGACUCUAUCAAAUCUUCUUCAUCAACUCCCAA